GACGAACGCUGGCGGCGUGCCUAAUACAUGCAAGUAGAACGCUGAAGGAGGAGCUUGCUUCUCUGGAUGAGUUGCGAACGGGUGAGUAACGCGUAGGUAACCUGCCUGGUAGCGGGGGAUAACUAUUGGAAACGAUAGCUAAUACCGCAUAAGAUUGACUAUUGCAUGAUAGUCAGUUAAAAGGUGCAAUUGCAUCACUACCAGAUGGACCUGCGUUGUAUUAGCUAGUUGGUGGGGUAACGGCUCACCAAGGCGACGAUACAUAGCCGACCUGAGAGGGUGAUCGGCCACACUGGGACUGAGACACGGCCCAGACUCCUACGGGAGGCAGCAGGAGGGAAUAUUCGGCAAUGGACGGAAGUCUGAACGAGCAACGCCGCGGGAGUGAAGAAGGGUUUCGGAUCGUAAAGCUCUGUUGUAAGAGAAGAAAGAGUGUGAGAGUGGAAAGUUCACACUGUGACGGUAUCUUAACAGAAAGGGACGGCUAACUACGUG
rnacentral:rRNA from 1 species